CUCCAUCCCUGGCAGAGGAGACACCACGAUCAUGAAGGUGCUUUCCCCAGGGGUGAGGCUCAUCCAUUGUCCUCCACAUGUGCCGACUCCUGCGACUUCCCCAAAUGCGGGAAACCCGACUGCAUAAUUUGUAGUUUAGUUCAGCAACGGCUUGGAUC